GGAGGAGCUUGCGUCACAUUAGUUAGUUGGUGGGGUAAAGGCCUACCAAGACUAUGAUGUGUAGCCGGGCUGAGAGGUUGAACGGCCACAUUGGGACUGAGACACGGCCCAAACUCCUACGGGAGGCAGCAGUAGGGAAUUUUCGGCAAUGGAGGAAACUCUGACCGAGCAACGCCGCGUGAACGAUGAAGUAUUUCGGUACGUAAAGUUCUUUUAUUAGGGAAGAAUAAAUGAUGGAAAAAUCAUUCUGACGGUACCUAAUGAAUAAGCCCCGGCUAACUAUGUGCCAGCAGCCGCGGUAAUACAUAGGGGGCAAGCGUUAUCCGGAAUUAUUGGGCGUAAAGGGUGCGUAGGCGGUUAAAUAAGUUUAUGGUCUAAGUGCAAUGCUCAACAUUGUGAUGCUAUAAAAACUGUUUAGCUAGAGUAAGAUAGAGGCAAGUGGAAUUCCAUGUGUAGUGGUAAAAUGCGUAAAUAUAUGGAGGAACACCAGUAGCGAAGGCGGCUUGCUGGGUCUUUACUGACGCUGAGGCACGAAAGCGUGGGGAGCAAACAGGAUUAGAUACCCUGGUAGUCCACGCCGUAAACGAUGAGUACUAAACGUUGGGUAAAACCAGUGUUGAAGUUAACACAUUAAGUACUCCGCCUGAGUAGUACGUACGCAAGUAUGAAACUUAAAGGAAUUGACGGGACUCCGCACAAGCGGUGGAUCAUGUUGUUUAAUUCGAAGGUACCCGAAAAACCUCACCAGGUCUUGACAUGCUUCUGCAAAGCUGUAGAAACACAGUGGAGGUUAUCAGUUGCACAGGUGGUGCAUGGUUGUCGUCAGCUCGUGUCGUGAGAUGUUGGGUUAAGUCCCGCAACGAGCGCAACCCUUAUUGUUAGUUACCAGCACGUAAUGGUGGGGGACUUUANCAAGACUGCCGGUGANAAAU
rnacentral:rRNA from 1 species